rnacentral:rRNA from 1 species
UACGAGGGGGGCGAGCGUUGUUCGGAAUUAUUGGGCGUAAAGGGUGCGUAGGCGGCCUGUCAAGUCUGCUGUGAAAUCCCUGGGCUCAACCCAGGGCCUGCAUCGGAAACUGUCGGGCUUGAGUAUGGGAGAGGUGAGUGGAAUUUCCGGUGUAGCGGUGAAAUGCGUAGAUAUCGGAAGGAACACCUGUGGCGAAAGCGGCUCACUGGACCAUUACUGACGCUGAGGCACGAAAGCGAGGGGAGCAAACAGG